UACGAAGGGGGCUAGCGUUGUUCGGAAUUACUGGGCGUAAAGCGCACGUAGGCGGGUUAUUAAGUCAGGGGUGAAAUCCCGGAGCUCAACUCCGGAACUGCCUUUGAUACUGGUAAUCUAGAGAUCGGAAGAGGUUAGUGGAAUUCCCAGUGUAGAGGUGAAAUUCGUAGAUAUUGGGAAGAACACCAGUGGCGAAGGCGGCUAACUGGUCCGAUACUGACGCUGAGGUGCGAAAGCGUGGGGAGCAAAC
rnacentral:rRNA from 1 species